UGAGGAAACUGUUACUGCCCUCAACAACUCUAUGAUAUUUGAUGCAAACUUUGGAGUAUUCAUCCUUUGGACAGGAUAACGCCACUGUAGAAGUUACACACAGACACUGGAUUUAUUUCCCUGUAACAAUGGGGUUAGUUCUCGGGCUCACAGGAGUUAAAAGGGGGUGGCUGCUGCUGCCCCACAGCUAACAUGGAGUGGGAAGGAAACCUCUGCACCCCACCUGCAAGCUGAAAACCAUAGGAACGUGUUACCUUGGAAGAACUCUGAUCUCCUGCUUACAGAAGCCCUUGUGGUGUACAGCUCCAGUGCCCCAGCAGAUACCACAAAAUAAUGAAGGCUGAAAUGACUAUGGAGUUGUCUGGAAAAAAACCCAUUUCAUCCUGUUUCACAAGAAACAAAGAAAAUGCAUUUUGUUCAGCUUUGAAGAUCACCUCCACCUAUACCUGCAUUUGUAGAGGUUUUCUGCUGGUGCUGGACAAGCUGCAGACUCUGAAGCAGCUGGUGGCCUGCACUGCUGCCAGUCUUCCCAUCAGGCAGUCUCUGCCCAAUUUGCAGAGACAGGUGGAAUGUGCCAAUGCCCAGCAAUCACAAGGUCCCAUGUCUUGACUUGUGUCAAGAUAAAGAUCCCUGGACACCUGAAAGGAUGUGGUUACAGGCUAGGCUCCUUAAUGCAUGUGCUCUUGCUUUCUAUGUGCAGGCAGUUCAGUGUAAAAGGUUAACAUUUUUCCUAACACUUUUUUUUCUGAAUAAAAUAACACAACAUAUAUA